rnacentral:lncRNA from 1 species
AUGGAGUGUCACUCUGUCUCCCAGGCUGGAGUGCAGCGGCAUGAUCUCGGCUUACUGCAACCUCCGUCUCCCAGGUUCAAGUGAUUCUUCUGCCUCAGCCUCCCAAGUAGCUGGUGAGAGGUGACAGCGUGCUGGCAGCCCUCACAGUCCUCGCUCGCUCUCCGCACAUCCUCUGCCUGGGCUCCCACUUUGGCGGCACUUGAGGAGCACUUCAGCCCGCGGCUGCACUGUGGGAGCCCCUUCCUGGGCUGGCCGAGGCCGGAGCCGGCACCCUCAGCUUGAGGGGAGGUGUGGAGGGAGAGGCGCGGGCGGGAACCGGGGCUUCCCGUGAUGCUUGUGGGCCAGCGCGAGUUCCGGGUAGGCUUGGGCUCGGCGGUCCCCGCGCUCGGAGCGGCCAGCGGGCCCCGCCGGCCCCGGGCAGUGAGGGGCUUAGCACCUGGGCUGGCGGCGGCGGAGGGUGUAGUGGGUCCCCCAGCAGUGCCGGCCCACCAGCGCUGCGCUCAAUUUCUCGCCGGGCCAUAGCUGCCUUCCCGCGGGGCAGGGCUCAGGACCUACAGCCCGUCAUGCCUUAGCCUGCCCCCGCCUCCGUGGGCUCCUGUGCAGCCCCAGCCUCCCAGACGAGCACCGCUCUCUGCUCCACGGCGCCUAGUCCCAUUGACCACCCAAGGGCUGAGGAGUGUGGGCGCAGGGCGCGGGACUGGCAGGCAGCUCCACCUGCAGCCCUCUUGCUGGAUCCACUGGGUGAAGCCAGCUGGGCUCCUGAGUCUGGUGGGGACUUGGAGAACCUUUAUGUCUAGCUAAGGGAUUGUAAAUACACCAAUCAGCACCCUGUGUCUAGCUCAGGGUUUGUGAAUGCACCAAUCCACACUCUGUAUCUAGCUAGUCUGGUGGGGACUUGGAGAACCUUUAUGUCUAGCAAAGGGAUUGUAUAUACACCAAUCAGCACCCUGUGUCUAGCUCAGGGUUUGUAAAUGCACCAAUCAACACUCUGUAUCUAGCUAGUCUGGUGGGGCCUUGGAGAAACUUUAUGUCUAGCUACGGGAUUGUAAAUACACCAAUCAGCACCCUGUGUCUAGCUCAAGGUUUGUAAACACACCAAUCAGCACCCUGUGUCUAGCUCAGGGUUUGUGAAUGCACCAAUUGACACUCUGUAUCUAGCUACUCUGGUGGGGACUUGGAGAGCCUUUGUGUCCACACUCUGUAUCUAGCUAAUCUAUUGGGGACUUGGAGAACCUUUGUGUCUAGCUCAGGGAUUGUAAACGCACCAAUCAGUGCCCUGUCAAAACAGACCACUCGGCUCUCUGUAAAAUGGACCAAUCAGCAGGAUGGGGGUGGGGCCAGAUAAGAGAAUAAAAGCAGGCUGCCGGAGCCUGCAGUGGCAACCCGCCCCCGUCCCUUUCAACACUGUGGAAGCUUUGUUUUUUCACUCUUUGCAAUAUAUCUUGCUGCUGCUCACUCUUUGGGUCUACACUGCUUUUAUGAGCUAUAACACUCACUGUGAAGGUCUGCAGCUUCACUCCUGAGCCAGCGAGACCAUGAUCCCAGCAGAAGGAAGAAACUCCGAACACAUCCGAACAUCAGAAGGAACAAACUCCACACGUGCCACCUUAAGAGCUGCAACACUCACUGCGAGGGUCUGCAGCUUCAUUCUUGAAGUCAGUGAGACCAAGAACCCACCAAUUCUGGACACACUGGGAUUACAGGUGCAUGCCGCCACGUCCAGCUAAUUUUUGUAUUUUUAGUAGAGACAGGGUUUCAACACGUUGGCCAGGCUGGUUUUGAACUCCUGACCUCAGGUGAUCCACCCGCCUUGGCCUCCCAAAGUGUUGGGAUUACAGAUAUCAGACACUGCCUGGCCGGUUAUGUCUUUCUUGAUUCUAAUCAGUAUGUACAUAAUUUUGCAUAGAUAUAUUGAUUAGGGAGGCAUUUAUGAAGGGCAGGUAGUGGAGAGGCUGGGGUAAGGUUAGGUAAUAGGAGUUCUAGGGGAUUCCAUACUUUGGCCUAUAAUGGAAUUGUAGCCUACCCAGCACUUUAAACAUUCCCGAUUGACUCCAAUAUUUGUUCUUCUAGCCACUCCUUCCCCUCUCAGCCAAUGUACUUAGGGAGAAGCUGAUCCCAUGCUAAGUUCCAGGAAUGGGCUUUAUUUUCCAGGAAUGAAUCCAUACCCUUUCCAGUAAAGGGCUCUGGAAUCCAGGUCUAAGUGCCAUGUGAUUGGUUUAGGAAUGGACCAAUGAGACACUGUGAGGAAGUUUCCUGAGGGCUUCUGGGAAUUUUCUCAUAAUAGAAAGCUACCAGAAUUCACAGGCCCUUUUCAUCUUGACUUCUUGUCCAUAGACCUGAGGCCAGGGGCUGUGGCAGGCAUUUUGUAGGCAGCCUAAGGGUGAAACAUGCACAAGAGAGAACAAGACAACACCACAGAGAAGCAGAGCUCAGUAAUGGCUGAGCCCUGCCUCACCUCCACCAUUCCUAGACCUUCUCAGUCUCUUAGCCAAUGAACAGCCUUGAUUUUAAAGCAAUUUUUAUUUGAGUUUUUGCUUCUGGAAGCCAAAACAAACAUUUUAGCCUAUGGAAUCCCAAUUUAUACUUAACGUUUUUAUUUGUUAAUCUUUAAGUUUCAGAAUUCUUUUCUGAUUAUAAAAAUAAUACAUACUUAUUGUAGAGAACCAAGAAAACAUUGAAAGAUAUAAAGAAGAACAUUAAGACCAUCCAUAAUCUCACUAUCCCUAGAUAACUGCUAUUGAGUUUUGAGUUAGUUUCCUCUUUAUGUAUCCAAACUUACACAGAAAUUUUACACAUAUAUUUAUCCUGCUUUAAUGAAAUUCACAGCCUAGUGGGAAAUAGAAACAGACAAACAAAAACCGAACAAAUAGAUGAAUAUCUGCGACUAUGGAACGUCAUAGUAACUACUAACCUUGUGUUCACUGUUUUUGGGUAAAUGUUGCUAAUAAUGUUAUACCCCAUCUCCACAACCCAGAACAAAUCAAAGAUUUAUGUUAAUAACUAUUAAAAUAUAAUAUGCUCUAAA